UUGUUUAAUCAAGAAAUGGCCCCGGAUUC
rnacentral:piRNA from 1 species